CCUACGGGGAGGCUGCAGUGGGGAAUAUUGGACAAUGGGCGAAAGCCUGAUCCAGCCAUGCCGCGUGUGUGAAGAAGGCCUUCGGGUUGUAAAGCACUUUCAGUGGGGAAGAAAGCCUUGGGGCUAAUACCCUCGAGGAAGGACAUCACCCACAGAAGAAGCACCGGCUAACUCCGUGCCAGCAGCCGCGGUAAUACGGAGGGUGCGAGCGUUAAUCGGAAUUACUGGGCGUAAAGCGCGCGUAGGCGGUCUGAUAAGCCGGUUGUGAAAGCCCCGGGCUCAACCUGGGAACGGCAUCCGGAACUGUCAGGCUAGAGUGCAGGAGAGGAAGGUAGAAUUCCCGGUGUAGCGGUGAAAUGCGUAGAGAUCGGGAGGAAUACCAGUGGCGAAGGCGGCCUUCUGGACUGACACUGACACUGAGGUGCGAAAGCGUGGGUAGCAAACAGGAUUAGAUACCCCUGUAGUC
rnacentral:rRNA from 1 species